CAGAGGCAUCACAUGCAAUGUGAUUAUUUCCUAUUUGCAUAAACUCCACGUUAACGGGGCAAAAGUGGGAGGGGUGUCUCCGCAGUUCACCUGGUGAAGGCUGAGCUCAACUGGGUGUCCUGAUCAGUGCUGGAUUUACAUAUAAGCUAAACAAGCUAUAGCUUAGGGCCCCACUCUCUUAGGCCCCCCCCAAAAAAAAAAUUAAAGGAAAAUAAAACUGGAUGUACAUUUCCAAAAUAUAAGAUAAAAAACAAAUAGAAUAAAACCUACAUACAGCAACAGU